rnacentral:rRNA from 1 species
GACGAACCGUGCGAACGUUGUUCGGAAUCACUGGGCUUAAAGGGCGCGUAGGCGGGCUGCCGAGUCCGGGGUGAAACUCCUCCCGCUCAACGGGAGAACGGCCCCGGGUACUGGCGGCCUCGAGGCGGGGUAGGGGCGUGCGGAACGACUGGGUGGAGCGGUGAAAUGCGUUGAUAUCCAGUGGAACUCCGGUGGCGAAGGCGGCACGC